AACGAACGCUGGCGGCGGGGCUUAGGCAUGCAAGUCGAGCGAGAAAGGGGCAACCCAAGUAAAGCGGCGUAAGGGUGAGUAAUGGGUAGCCAACGUACCCUCCAGACGCGAAUAAUUUUCCGAAAGGGAUUGUAAUGCGCGAUGAGGCCACGGUCUGUACGCAGACAGGGGUCAAAGGUCGGGGAUCCUUCGGGACCCGGCGGCUGGGGGAGCGGGCGACCUCCGAUUAGGUAGUUGGCGGGGUAACGGCCCACCAAGCCGAUGAUCGGUAGCCGGGCUGAGAGGCUGUCCGGCCACACUGGCACUGAGACACUGGCCAGACUCCUACGGGAGGCUGCAGUCGCGAAUUUUUCACAAUGGGCGCAAGCCUGAUGAAGCCACGCCGUGUGUGGGAUGAAGGCUCUCUGAGUUGUAAACCACUGUCAGGUGGGGGGAAACGCCAGGUGUUAACAGCAUCUGGUUUGACUGCCCGCCAAAGGAAGCCCCGGCAAAACAUGUGCCAGCAGCCGCGGUAAUACAUGUGGGGCAAGCGUUGUUCGGAAUUACUGGGCAUAAAGGGUGCGUAGGUGGUUUGUUAAGUCAGGGGUGAAAUCCGGUGGCCCAACCAUCGAACUGCCUUUGAUACUGGCGAACUUGAGUGCGUGAGGGGUGAUCGGAACGAGUAGUGUAGCGGUGAAAUGCGUAGAUAUUACUCGGAAGGCCAACGGCGAAGGCAGAUCACUGGUACGUAACUGACACUGAGGCACGAAAGCGUGGGGAGCAAACAGG
rnacentral:rRNA from 1 species